GCCUUAACCCUCUCUCUCUUUCUCUCUCAAUCCCUUUUAUAUUCUCAAGAUUUUAGACUAAACUUUAUCCAAAAUUGGGGAAGAAUCUGAACCAUCUAUCUCUUCGUUCUCAACAUCUGACAGCCUCCAUUUCAUAUGAAUUUCCUUCCUUUCUCCUCAAUUUAUGUUUGUCAUACUGAGAAAUAAUAAAACCCCCAAAUCCCAAACCCCAAACUGCUGCCUUCCAUCCAUAUUGGUCUCAGUUCUCUGGAAAAGUAAAAGGUAUGCUUUGACUGUUGUUCUUGGUAUUUUGAUGGGUCAGAGGGUUGGGAAUGGUUCUGGGUUUGGUUUUGUUGGAGGUAAUAAUUUGGUGGUGGACCUAAACCCGAGUCCGUACGCAAUCAGACCUCCAGAUCCGAGGUUUGAAGUUGGGGCUAUGUAUGAGACCUCGAAAGAGGUCUCUUCAAUGCCAAAGGUUCAACCUUUGUCUUCUGGUGGCCAAGUGGUGGGGAGAAGUGCAUCUUCCUUGGGCUUCCGCAAUGAGGAUAAGGGUGUAGAGGUUUGGGCAGUGCACAGAAAGGAGAGCUCAGCUGGUGGUGGUAUUUUCAUGGAAUAUGGUAUUAUCAUAUUGAUUUGACACUCAAGCUUUCAUUUUAGAAGCAAAACAAGGUGUCUAUUUGGGUGUUUUUGCUGUGGUAAUCUAUAAUGCAUGUGAGGAAAACAACCCAAGAUACAGCUUUUUGGUUGUCCUUUUUUUGUUAGUUAAACUGACAUACAUAUCAUCUCCAAAUUAAUUAAGUCCCAUACAAGCUUAGAAUCCAUGUUUAAAACUAGCUCUGUCUGUCUCGAAAGUUUGUUUCACUUGUUGUUUGCUUUAAUUCAUCCAAGUUGCCCUUAUUAAUUUCUCAUGGGAUCUAUGUUUCUUUUAUUAAUUCCUUUCAUUACUUUUAGAUUCUCAUUUAAGUCUUGAGUUCAUGUUCUUUUAUUGUAAAGAAAUUGUGCACACCUGCUCUCUGGAUGAAACAGAGCUUCACAAUUGCUUACAAGAACAGGAGUCUGUUGGUCUUCUGGACAGAGGGCCUAUCUGUCAACAUACUCAUGUACCCCUUUUUAUUUCGUGCUCUAGCUACUUGUAUAAAUGUCACAAAGAAGAGAAAUAUUCAAUACUAAAUAGGUUGAGAGUGUUCCAUCUGGAGAGGCCAGGCUUAGGAUUGAAGGAAAUUGCACAAGAAUACAAUCUGAACUGGGAUUCUUCUAACACUGAAGUUGGCAGUAGCAUAUUGAAUUUGGAAUUCUUCUAACAAUCAGGCACUUCACAUCCAAUUCAUUGGCUCAUCAGCUUUAGCCCAACUUAUCAAGUUUCUAGAUCAUGUUCGACAAGGGUUUUGAAAUAUAAUUAUAGACAUAGUACAGUUUCCCUCUACUUCCAUGUGGAUAAGUGUAACUCUGACAAUGAAUCUAUCAAUCUUUGUAAUACGUGUGGAGUUAUUUUUGAAUGAAAGUUCUUUAUUAUGUGUUAU